AUUGAACGCUGGCGGCAGGCCUAACACAUGCAAGUCGAGCGAGCGGCGGACGGGUGAGUAAUGUAUGGGGACUGCCCGAUAGAGGGGGAUAACUACUGGAAACGGUAGCUAAUACCGCAUACUAUCGGAUAACCCAUAUGGGAUUAGCUUGUAGGUGGGGUAAUUGCUCACCUAGGCGACGAUCCCUAGCUGGUCUGAGAGGAUGAUCAGCCACACUGGGACGGAGACACGGCCCAGAGUCCUACGGAGGCAGCAGUGGGGAAUAUUGCACAAUGGUGGCAAGCAUGAUGCAGCCAUGCCGCGUGUAGGAAGAAGGCCCUAGGGUUGUAAAGUACUUUCAGUCGGGAGGCGUUACCGACAGAAGAAGCACCGGCUAACUCCGUGCCAGCAGCCGCGGUAAUAC
rnacentral:rRNA from 1 species